GAGUCUUGUUGCUCAAGUUAUGGGUAUAACAGCUCGAGAAGGAAGCAGAGUUCAUCGGCAAGUGCUGCUAGUAGUUCUAAUAAUGAUGGGAAAGGAGGAAGGAAGAAGAAGAUGAAGAAGAUGAUGGGAAUGUUGAGGAAGAUUGUCCCUGGAGGUGAAGAGAUGAAUACAGCUUCCGUUCUUGAUGAAGCUGUUCAGUACCUCAAGUCGCUUAAACUUGAAGCUCAGAAACUUGGCGUUGGACAUUUCUCAAACCAGUCUUGAAUGGUAUCUGGACCGUUUCUUGGCAAGUAAACCGGUCCUGGCUCUAUCUGGACCGCUCUCUCCUCUCUUAAGAUCAUCUUAUGAUAUAUAGUAUGUUGAAUCUCUCUCUCUUUUGUGUGUGUUUGCACAAGCUGUACUUGUGGAUUUGAUUUGAGUUUGGUUUUGUAUCGUUUGAACUUUUACUGUAAUCAUUUGUCAUUUGCUUAGUAACUUUAUGCAUUUUGCAUCUUAUUUAAAAAAAAAACAUUUGGUCUUCUGAUGCUUUACAAGUUGCAUCAUAUGUUGAAACAUUGCAAGGGCCAACAGGUACAUAUAUACACUUGUAACACCUCUUUUCAAAAUGUUAAAUUAAGGUUAUAGCUAACUUUGAAUUAUUUUACCAUCGAUAUGUGACCAAUCUAAUACAUGUUUUUGGGUUAAUAGUCUAAUUUAUUAAAGCAUAAAUAAUAGUGUGUCUUAUGUUUCGACCUGGCUUGUCUUUAAUCUCUGCAGGCAGAAUAUUUCAGACAGUUGCUUAAGCCUGUAACGUAGUCUGGUUUCUUCAGUUUCCGAAAAUUUGGGGGGUCUUUUGGGCGGCUGUCUACUUUUGGUUUCGAAAAAAGGUUUUGUGAGAUAUUAAGUGUUUGGAAAAUUCUGAAAGAGCUGUGUUGACAUCUGAAACUCCUUUGGGUGGAGAAAGCUUCUGGUUUGAGGGGGGUAAGGGCUCGGUUGGAACAAAUCGUGAUAUCUCUUUAGUAACAUGGCCACAAGUUGAUUCUAGCAUCUGGUUCAGUUGUCAACGUUGUGUAACCGAGCAGCUCGUAGUUCUUUAAGGUUUAGGACUUUGUUUUUUUUUUCACUUUUAUAUACCCUUUUGCGCGGGUUUCUCUAAUGCAGAACAAUCAGUAUCCCCACUUCUCUGACGAAAUGGGUGAUGGGAACAUGAACUUCCCAUAUGCAUCAUCGUCCUUUGAUGAUUUGUUCCCACCGUGUGCCAAGUUACCAUUCCACGGCGUUGAACUUCAACCCUCUCCGGUCUGUCCAAAGAACUUUGUCAUUUUCGACCAGACGUAUGACCACAGCCAAGUCAUGUACCAUCCUGACCUGACACCUAGGCUCGUGAAUUCCGGAUUAGCUUCCACGUUUCAGAACGAGUAUGCUGGGGGAAGUUAUGGUUAUAACUAUGGCCAAGAAGUCUAUGGUAACUAUGGCGGCCAAGAAGUAGUCUCCUCUUCUUACCAAGAAGAUCCGAAUGAGAUUGAUGCUCUCUUGAGCACAGAUGAGGAUGAUGAGGGGGAGGAGGAUGGUGGCGAUUCAGGAGAGGUCAGGACGGCUCGUAACGCUUCAAGGGAUUAUGGGAAUACAUCAGCUGAGUCUUGUUGCUCAAGUUAUGGGUAUAACAGCUCGAGAAGGAAGCAGAGUUCAUCGGCAAGUGCUGCUAGUAGUUCUAAUAAUGAUGGGAAAGGAGGAAGGAAGAAGAAGAUGAAGAAGAUGAUGGGAAUGUUGAGGAAGAUUGUCCCUGGAGGUGAAGAGAUGAAUACAGCUUCCGUUCUUGAUGAAGCUGUUCAGUACCUCAAGUCGCUUAAACUUGAAGCUCAGAAACUUGGCGUUGGACAUUUCUCAAACCAGUCUUGAAUGGUAUCUGGACCGUUUCUUGGCAAGUAAACCGGUCCUGGCUCUAUCUGGACCGCUCUCUC
rnacentral:lncRNA from 1 species